rnacentral:tRNA from 1 species
GGGUGAUUACUCAUUGGGAGAAAGCAAUCUCCCUUGCCAAAGUGAGAGGUCGGCGGUUCGAUCCCGUCAUCACCCACCA